GAUGAAGAACGUAGCGAAAUGCGAUACUUGGUGUGAAUUGCAGAAUCCCGUGAACCAUCGAGUCUUUGAACGCAAGUUGCGCCCGAAGCCAUUAGGCCGAGGGCACGCCUGCCUGGGCGUCACACGUCGUUGCCCCCCCAUCUACUCCUUCGGGAUUGCGGGGGGCGGAUGAUGGCCUCCCGUGCGCCUCGUCGCGCGGUUGGCAUAAAUGCCAAGUCCUCGGCGACGCACGCCACGACAAUCGGUGGUUGCGAAACCUCGGUUGCCCGUCGUGUGCGGUCGUCGCGCAUCGAGGGCCCGAAAAAAUUGCCGGGCUCCGGCUCGGCUUUCAACGCGACCCCAGGUCAGGCGGGGUUACCCGCUGAAUUUAAGCAUAUCAAUAAGCGGAGGA
rnacentral:misc_RNA from 1 species